CUUCGGCUGUCACUUUAGGAUGGACCCGCGGCGCAUUAGCUUGUUGGUAAGGUAACGGCUUACCAAGGCGAUGAUACGUAGCCGACCUGAGAGGGUAAUCGGCCACAUUGGGACUGAGACACGGCCCAAACUCCUACGGGAGGCAGCAGUAGGGAAUCUUCCACAAUGGACGAAAGUCUGAUGGAGCAACGCCGCGUGAGUGAUGAAGGGUUUCGGCUCGUAAAACUCUGUUGUUGGAGAAGAACAGGUGUCAGAGUAACUGUUGACAUCUUGACGGUAUCCAACCAGAAAGCCACGGCUAACUACGUGCCAGCAGCCGCGGUAAUACGUAGGUGGCAAGCGUUGUCCGGAUUUAUUGGGCGUAAAGCGAGCGCAGGCGGUUUUUUAGGUCUGAUGUGAAAGCCUUCGGCUUAACCGGAGAAGUGCAUCGGAAACCGGGAGACUUGAGUGCAGAAGAGGACAGUGGAACUCCAUGUGUAGCGGUGAAAUGCGUAGAUAUAUGGAAGAACACCAGUGGCGAAGGCGGCUGUCUGGUCUGUAACUGA
rnacentral:rRNA from 1 species